rnacentral:tRNA from 1 species
GCCUGGGUGGCUGAGUCAGUGAAGCACCCAAUUUCAGCUCAGGUCAUGAUCUCGUGGUUCGUGGGUUUGAGCCCCACAUCAGGCU